GCUGCAUAGAGGCUUUAUGUGCUCUCUCUUCUUUGCAAGUGCACAAGGAAGUAACUGAGAAACAAGACAGCAGCAACACUUUCUGAGUCUACCACUGUUAAUUCUAUUCAGUGAAACAGAUAGUGAAUAUUAGUAUUUCUAACACAGGACUACUGAAUAACUGUACAUGGGGAGCAUUGAUAUUAAAGACAUACAUACAAUUCUCCAGUGAAUUGCUGAUGUAAUCCAGAUCAUCUCACAUAAUGCUUUUUGCAAUAUUCCACAAGCAGUAAUAGCCUGGAACUUUUUGAAAUAAAAAGCGAAUUACCCGGCAUAUAAGUUUGUCAAAUUUGUUGAAAAACUGUUUGCUGCACUUAUGAGAGACAUUGUCACAUCCUUCUGUUUGCAGAAACUGUUCUAAUAACUGGAAGUUAUUUUUUCUUGUGGCAUCAUCUAUGCAUUUUUCCAACUGUCAAAGAAAACAAAAAAAACUAUAUUACUAUAUGCUGAGAUUUUAUAUUACUUUAACAAGGUUUGAUACAAAAUUUUUUUAACACACUCCUCUU